rnacentral:rRNA from 1 species
CACACUGCCCGUCACGCCAUGAAAGCUGUUUGUACCCAAAGUUAUCUUAGCCAACCUGAAAAGGAGGCGGAUACCUAAGGUAUGGAGAGUGAUUGGGGCG